rnacentral:misc_RNA from 1 species
AACGCACAUUGCGCCCCUUGGUAUUCCGAAGGGCAUGCCUGUUCGAGCGUCAUUGCAAACCCUCAAGCACCGCUUGGUCUUGGGCGCAGGUCCCCGCGGACCCGCCCGUAACGCGUCGGCGGCACCGUCCGGCUCUAAGCGUAGCAAGAAUUUUCCCUCGCUUCGGAGCUCGCGGCGGCGCCUGCCGGGAAAGCAAAGCACCCCAAAGUUUGACCUCGGAUCAGGUAGGGAUACCCGCUGAACUUAA